rnacentral:rRNA from 1 species
GACGAACGCUGGCGGCGUGCCUAAUACAUGCAAGUAGAACGCUGAAGGAGGAGCUUGCUCUUCUGGAUGAGUUGCGAACGGGUGAGUAACGCGUAGGUAACCUGCCUGGUAGCGGGGGAUAACUAUUGGAAACGAUAGCUAAUACCGCAUAACAGUAGAUGUUGCAUGACAUUUGCUUAAAAGGUGCAAUUGCACCACUACCAGAUGGACCUGCGUUGUAUUAGCUAGUUGGUGGGGUAACGGCUCACCAAGGCGACGAUACAUAGCCGACCUGAGAGGGUGAUCGGCCACACUGGGACUGAGACACGGCCCAGACUCCUACGGGAGGCAGCACUAGGGAAUCUUCGGCAAUGGACGGAAGUCUGACCGAGCAACGCCGCGUGAGUGAAGAAGGUUUUCGGAUCGUAAAGCUCUGUUGUAAGAGAAGAACGAGUGUGAGAGUGGAAAGUUCACACUGUGACGGUAUCUUACCAGAAAGGGACGGCUAACUACGUG